AUUGAACGCUGGCGGCAGGCUUAACACAUGCAAGUCGAGCGAGUGGCGGACGGGUGUGUAACGUCUGGGACCCACCUUUAUGGAGGGGGUAAACUACUGGAAACGGUAGCUAAUCCCGCAUACCAUCAGCUGUGCGCAGAUGGCAUUCGCGAGUAGGUGGGGUAAUGGCUCACGUAGGCGACGAUCCCCAGCUGGUCUGAGAGGGUGAACAGCCACACUGGAACUGAGACACGGUCCAGACUCCUACGGGAGGCAGCAGUAGGGAAUAUUGCACAAGGGGCGAAAGCCUGAUGCAGCCAUGCCGCGUGUGUGAAGAAGGCCUUCGGAUUGUAAAGCACUUUUAGCAGGGAGGCGGUACUCACGGAAAAAGCAACGGCUAACUCCGUGCCAGCAGCCGCGGUAAUUC
rnacentral:rRNA from 1 species